rnacentral:rRNA from 1 species
GAUGAACGCUGGCGGCGUGCCUAAUACAUGCAAGUCGAGCGAACAGACGAGGAGCUUGCUCCUCUGACGUUAGCGGCGGACGGGUGAGUAACACGUGGAUAACCUACCUAUAAGACUGGGAUAACUUCGGGAAACCGGAGCUAAUACCGGAUAAUAUAUUGAACCGCAUGGUUCAAUAGUGAAAGACGGUUUUGCUGUCACUUAUAGAUGGAUCCGCGCCGCAUUAGCUAGUUGGUAAGGUAACGGCUUACCAAGGCAACGAUGCGUAGCCGACCUGAGAGGGUGAUCGGCCACACUGGAACUGAGACACGUUCCAGACUCCGACGGGAGGCAGCAGUAGGGAAUCUUCCGCAAUGGGCGAAAGCCUGACGGAGCAACGCCGCGUGAGUGAUGAAGGUCUUCGGAUCGUAAAACUCUGUUAUUAGUGAAGAACAAAUGUGUAAGUAACUAUGCACGUCUUGACGGUACCUAAUCAGAAAGCCACGGCUAACUACGUG